AAUAGAUACCCCGGUAGUCCACGCCGUAAACGAUGGAUACUAGCUGUCCGGCGCAAGCUGGGUGGCUAAGCGAAAGUGAUAAGUAUCCCACCUGGGGAGUACGUUCGCAAGAAUGAAACUCAAAGGAAUUGACGGGGGCCCGCACAAGCGGUGGAGCAUGUGGUUUAAUUCGAUGAUACGCGAGGAACCUUACCAGGGCUUAAAUGUAGUGGGACAGGUCCAGAGAUGGGCCCUUCUUCGGACUCAUUACAAGGUGCUGCAUGGUUGUCGUCAGCUCGUGCCGUGAGGUGUCAGGUUAAGUCCCAUAACGAGCGCAACCCCUGUCGUUAGUUGCCAGCGAGUGAAGUCGGGAACUCUAACGAGACUGCCGGUGCAAACCGUGAGGAAGUGGGGAUGACGUCAAAUCAUCACGGCCCUUACGUCCUGGGCUACACACGUGCUACGAAUGGCCGGUACAGAGAGCAGCCACGCCGCAAGGCGGAGCGAAUCUACAAAACCGGGUCACAGUUCGGAUCGGGGUCUGCAACUGA
rnacentral:rRNA from 1 species